CCGGCCAGAGGUCCCGGAGGGGGUGGGGAGGCUGGAGGCUGAGGUUUCGAGCUGGCUUCCUUCUCCUGGUUAUGAAACUCAUUAACAAGCCGCCCCACAAGUUUUAAAGACAACAGAGCCAGCUCAGGCCAAGACAAGCUCAAAGGAGCUGUGGAAAGCUGAGUGGGCCGAGCGACCAUGACGCUGUAGGCUGAGCACACCAACUCCGGAGAGAAAAUGAAGCACUUUUCAAUGAGAAGCUGUCUGGGCGAAGAGAACUCCUUUGGUGAAGUGGCCGAAGGCGUCGUCGCGGGGCCGGCAGAAGACGGAGCAGCCCUCCCCAAAGUAGUGUUCGUCACACACAAACCGGUAGGAAUACUUGAGGUCUGUGCGGCCGCUGCUGUGCAGGUCCUGGGACCACUCCUCGCCCACCGU